rnacentral:tRNA from 1 species
ACUAUAAUAGUGAAAAAGAAAAACACAACUAUCUUAAAUAUAGAAAACUAUAGGUUAAAAUCCUAUUUAUAGUA